UGCUGCAGUCAUACCAGCGCUAAUACACCGGAUCCCAUCAGAACUC
rnacentral:rRNA from 1 species